UGUGUCUAAAGUGCUGCAGCUGGUGGGUUAUAAGGAAACAUGGAGAUCUAAUUCUCCACCUGCAACCAUGCUAGCUUGCCAAGGAGCCUGAAAGGGAAUACUUUUUGGGUGUGGUUAUCAUGGCCUUUUCCUGGGAGGAGAAGGGUCUGAGUUGCGGUCUAUGGUUUGAGAGCUGUUACAAAUGCCUGAAGAGCCCUUGGAGGUGGGAACAUACCUCAGUCUCUUUUCUCUUAGCACAGGGCCUUCACUGGUAGAAUGCAAUUAUCACACUUCCUGCCUAGGAAGUGAAUCUCAAAUUCCAUCCUGCAGAAUGGCACAACUUCCCCAGAAAGAAUGAUGAGGGCUUCUUUUAGUAAAAGCCUACACCCUGGUUGCGAGGGCAGUGCUGGCAGGGGAAAAAUGCACAGCUCAAAGUUGCUGCAGUGAGAAAGGCAGGGAGCUUGGGUCUCCUCUCUUAUUUCAGAAUAAAAUCAGAAUUACUGGGUGGGAGUUUAUUUAUUUGCCUGUUCAGGCAGACCCAUUGUUUCUCAGUAUGCAGAAUUUUUACAACACGUUGCAAAUACUAUAGAGCCUAUGUAAGGCUUCAGGGCAUGGUAUUGAACCUCCUAAAGCAUGCUGCUUGGGAAGCACAGCCAUGGGCUGCUACAAGGCAGAUGAAGCCAGUCCACUGCUGGCCACAUUUAUAAAUAAAAGUGAGAGUUAUGCUCCAUUUUCUGAAGGCUCAGUGUAGGCUGUUCAUCCUUUUGCAGUGCAGGAUCAGUAACUUCAAUAACAACAGGAAUGGGAUUUCAGGUGUAUACUUUUCUUUAGCACUGCUUGUUCACUAGGUCAGAUGGAUCCCCCUUCCAGGUAGCCUGGACCUCACUUGGAGACAGCCUUUCCUUCCCACUGUGUAUCUAAUCUGGGGCUAUAAAUUCCUUGCUGGGAAGCAAUGCCUAAACAUCGGGUGAGUAAAAUGAAGUUUUACAAUGCUCAUUUCUUGCAAUGACAGAAAAUUAAUAAUCCUUCACAUUAGCAAAACAUAAUGUAUAAAAACUGAAGCUUGACAUUUUCAGAUUCAAGAGAGUUGUUUUCUCAAAGUGCAGGUAAGUAACCACUGAAAUGAUUUAGAGAUGGUCCAUCUCUGGAAAGUUUUUCGAACAUAUUUUCUAGCACAAAAAUUAAAUAAUUGAUGCAAAUCCUAUGGAUGUCAAAGGAGAUGUUCAGAAUAAUCCAGUUUGGCUUUAUAAUUUGUGAUCUUAUUGUGUAUUUAUGAAAGAUUUUUACUAAAUACCCCCUUAACUGGUUGCUGAAAGGAAUCUUAGCAGGGUGCCCAUUCCGCUAAAGAACAGUACCAAUGAAGGAUUGCCACUCUCCAAGUCUUGUAUAUUGCAGACUGUGUCAGAAGCCUUUUCUCCUUUCCACAGAGAGUUCACCUCCCUGUUCAUUUAUUCUCAGGUGAGUUCCUAUGGGUGUUAUUUUGGAAUGAAAAUUGCCAGAGCUGCUGGUAGGGCUGACUGAUGAGUCACUGCUCCAUUCAUCUGGAUUUUUACAUUUUCAAGAUUGUAAUUUGCAUAAUGACUUAACUGUAAGUAACCUAUACUUCCUAGACUGCUGCUUAACUAUGCAUCCUACUAGGAGAUCAUCUUUCCAGACCCUUAUAUUAAAUAGCCUGAACUGUAAUUCAUGGAAGCAUCCAUGUCCAAGAAAGUGCUAAGAGGAAGGAAGGAGACCCAGCUAAAGAGAGUACACAGGGACAUGUGGGACUGGGCAUGCAUGUUCCUCUGGAAAAGGCUCCAACAGCUGCAAAAAGCAGGUUGUGCACCAGGCUUGGACACAGGCAGCCAAGUGGCUGAGCUCAGAGCCAACCAUAACAGUUAACUGCGCAGAGCCAACAUUACGAGUUGUUACAAGAGGCAUUUUCCACCUGGUGCGUUCCUACUUACCUCCACAUCUCCAGCUCACCAGAACUCUGACUUUGCUGUUUGAUCUGACAGCUUGCCCAAACAACUUGUGAUUAAUCUGAUACAAUAUUUUGUUAACUGACAAUCAGCACCCCAAACUGCAAUUAUUGGCUAAAUUUGUCCCAGUCACAGUGGUUUCUGCUCAGGGUCAAUGUGCCUGUUUUUAUAGGGCCCAGAACAUCUGGACAAUAAUUUCAGAUGAACUUGUGGACAAUACUGCAAUAUAAAUAAAAACCAAAAGCCACACAGGAUUAAAACAAUGUUUAAAAAUCAGAGGAAGGCCACCCUGAAACUCUGAGGAGAUUGUCCAUUCUUUCAGUUCCUGAACAUCAAUGUUUUGUUUUCUGGUAUAUGACCUUCCUCUAAUUAGAUUAUUUAAGUCUCUCAGAAUACACAGAAAUUAUUCACACUCCCCCCCAGGCAUGAUUACAUUUGACAGCCUUAUCUAUUGUUUAGUAAAUACCUUUUUAUUUUUUUCGUUUUUUUCCUCCUGUUCUGACGUUCUUCUGGAAACCACACACAUCACACCAGACAUCAAAGCUGUUCCUUCAGAAGCAGUGCUGUGGGCAACAGCAUUGCUUUUCUGAACAAAGACCAUGCUAAAUCUCCCAACAGGAGAGCCAUUUCAGGCAUAACAGCCAUUUCAAUAAAACAAUAAGGAAGCCUUAAAUACUAAAACUCAUGGAAUGGAAGGAAGAACAGCCAGAUAAGACACUGCUUUUUAUCACAGCCCUACUGGAGAGAAAUCGCCUUGCAGCAUGACUUCUUUGAAGGGCUUCACUCAGCUGAGCUGUCUCAUUGCCUUCACAGUUGCUCACAUAAAAUAAGGUGAGGAUUUGAUCCACUGUUAUAAAGCAAAUUUGGCGUAAUCUCUUCCCCCCUACAUACUGAAACCCAACAGAAGUGUAGAGCCAGAAGGGGUGUCAGAGACAAGAUAGACCUGCAAUUCAAAUAGCAAGCUAAUAUUUGAUGCAGGGGGGGAAAUUAUUAUUUGGAUUUUCAAUUUCACCCAUAUAAAACUGAGGAUGGAAAACAAGGCUGUGGAAAAUCACUAGGAGAAGUGAAGGAACCAGAUUUUACUCACCCUCACCACAACAACAAAGCAGAUUUUGAUGUGUUUCAUGCAGUGCUUGAUGUAGUGUCCAGUCCUGUGAGGGCUUCUAUGGAUCAUUUUCUUGCUAAUCGUAUUAUCAUUUAUUUCAUCUACAAGUUUUGCUCCAAACUGACCUCCUACACCUUUUCUGAGGUUUGCUUUUUAUAUUGAAGCAAUGGCUGUGACCUUCCAAAUGUGGUACAGUUGUGAGAGUUUUUGUUGGUCAGCUUAGGAAACGUGUUUUCUCGGCUCUAAUAGCUUCUCUUCCAUUUUAAGAGUAUUAUUUGAACCAGAAGAAAUUAAUAAUCUUCAACAAUUUUUAAACAGGUGUAAAUCUGAAAACUACAUAGUCACAGAAAUUAUUCUUCUGUUUCAUCAUUUAUAGCCUAGAGGACAUAAUAACAAAACACAUAAAUGCAAAACUUUUUAUUUUAAAGCUUGUUACUUGUGACCUUUGAUUAGAAAUUACUGCUGUAUUUUCAAUUACCAUGGUGUAAAAUAUUUAUAAUAUCACUUUCCAUGCAAACAAGUGAAACUUUUAAAAAGCUGUAUGUAUAUGGUGAAUUAAUAUUUAUUGCCAUGCACUGAAAUGAGUUUGUUUCAGAUACCACCUUUCACCAACACUCUUAUCCAUGGAUAUUAAAAAGGUUUUGGGGCACAGUAAUCACUACCUACCUGAUCUGGUGAUCUUGAACUGCUAGGCCUCAUGCAGAUCCAGUCAAUACAGUUAAUUUGGACUUGUGGCAAUUUCCUUUCUGCAUCACUUUUCAGAAUAGGCGUGUGUAUUCUUGACAAACAUUUUAACAAGUGUGCUUGUAAGUAAAGUUUAGCUUUAGGGGUUAAUAUUUGAGUAAAAGGGUAAAUCUUGAUGAGCAGACAUUCAUGAUCUCUGAUUAAGAUAAUACAGUUUCUAAGUUG